GGUUAAGUGAAUAAGGGCGCACGGUGGAUGCCUUGGCACUAGGAGCCGAUGAAGGACGGGACUAACACCGAUAUGCUUUGGGGAGCUGUAAGUAAGCUAUGAUCCAGAGAUUUCCGAAUGGGGGAACCCAGCAUCUUUUAUAGGAUGUUACUUUUCAGUGAAUACAUAGCUGAUUAGAGGUAGACGCAGAGAACUGAAACAUCUAAGUACCUGCAGGAAGAGAAAGAAAAUUCGAUUCCCUGAGUAGCGGCGAGCGAAACGGGAAAAGCCCAAACCAAGAUGCUUGCAUCUUGGGGUUGUAGGACUCCAAUAUGGUAGUACGAUCAGAUAGUCGAAUGACUUGGAAAAGUCAGUCAAAGAGGGUAAAAACCCCGUAGACGAAAUUUGGUAUGCACCUAGGAGGAUCCUGAGUACGGCGGAACACGAGAAAUUCCGUCGGAAUCCGGGAGGACCAUCUCCCAAGGCUAAAUACUCCCUAGUGACCGAUAGUGAACCAGUACCGUGAGGGAAAGGUGAAAAGCACCCCGGAAGGGGAGUGAAAUAGAUCCUGAAACCGUGUGCCUACAACAAGUCAAAGCCCGUUAAUGGGUGAUGGCGUGCCUUUUGUAGAAUGAACCGGCGAGUUACGAUUGCAUGCGAGGUUAAGCUGAAGAGGCGGAGCCGUAGCGAAAGCGAGUCUGAAUAGGGCGUUUUAGUAUGUAGUCGUAGACCCGAAACCAUGUGAUCUACCCAUGUCCAGGUUGAAGGUGCGGUAAAACGCACUGGAGGACCGAACCCACGUACGUUGAAAAGUGCGGGGAUGAGGUGUGGGUAGCGGAGAAAUUCCAAUCGAACUUGGAGAUAGCUGGUUCUCUCCGAAAUAGCUUUAGGGCUAGCCUCGGAUUUAAGAAUGAUGGAGGUAGAGCACUGUUUGGACUAGGGGCCCAUCUCGGGUUACCGAAUUCAGAUAAACUCCGAAUGCCAUUCAUUUAUAUCCGGGAGUCAGACUGUGAGUGAUAAGAUCCAUAGUCGAAAGGGAAACAGCCCAGACCACCAGCUAAGGUCCCAAAAUAUAUGUUAAGUGGAAAAGGAUGUGGGGUUGCACAGACAACUAGGAUGUUGGCUCAGAAGCAGCCACCAUUUAAAGAGUGCGUAAUAGCUCACUAGUCGAGUGACCCUGCGCCGAAAAUGUACCGGGGCUAAACAUAUUACCGAAGCUGUGGAGUGUACCUUUGGUACACUGGUAGGAGAGCGUUCUAAGGGCGUUGAAGGUAGACCGUGAGGACUGCUGGAGCGCUUAGAAGUGAGAAUGCCGGUAUGAGUAGCGAAAGACAGGUGAGAAUCCUGUCCACCGAAUGACUAAGGUUUCCUGGGGAAGGCUCGUCCGCCCAGGGUUAGUCGGGACCUAAGCCGAGGCCGACAGGCGUAGGCGAUGGACAACAGGUUGAUAUUCCUGUACUCGUUGUUUUUGUUUGAGCAAUGGAGGGACGCAGGAGGCUAAGGAAUGCAGACGAUCGGAAAUGUCUGUCCAAGCAACAAGUCUUAGUGAGAGUCAAAUGCUUUCACUUUCAAGGACAAGUUGUGAUGGGGAGGGAAAUAAUAGUACCGAAGUUCCUGAUGUCACACUGCCAAGAAAAGCUUCUAGUA
rfam:Enterococcus sulfureus ATCC 49903 acyDF-supercont2.4, whole genome shotgun sequence.